UACGUAGGGUGCAAGCGUUAAUCGGAAUUACUGGGCGUAAAGCGCGUGUAGGCGGCUUUGCAAGUCGGGUGUGAAAUCCCACGGCUCAACCGUGGAAGUGCAUUCGAAACUGCGAGGCUAGAGUCCUGGAGAGGAAGGUGGAAUGCUUGGUGUAGAGGUGAAAUUCGUAGAUAUCAAGCGGAACACCGGUGGCGAAGGCGGCCUUCUGGACAGUGACUGACGCUGAGACGCGAAAGCGUGGGGAGCAAACAGG
rnacentral:rRNA from 1 species